CAGGUCGGGCUGCCGGGAUUGCACAUCCCGAGUUCCUCCCCGGGACGAGCUACCGCAGAAUGAGCCCGGGCUGGAACCCGGAGCGCCGCGUUCGCGCUGUGCGGAUUCUUCUUCUUAAUCCUUUGGUGAAAACUCUGUGACAAAAGAUGGCCACAAAUAAGCCCAAGGGUCAGAAUUCUUUGGCCUUGCACAAAGUCAUCAUGGUGGGCAGUGGUGGUGUGGGCAAGUCUGCUCUGACUCUGCAGUUCAUGUAUGAUGAGUUUGUGGAGGACUACGGGCCUACCAAAGCAGACAGCUAUCGGAGGAAGGUGGUCCUGGAUGGGGAGGAAGUUCAGAUCGAUAUCUUAGAUACAGUUGGGCAGGAGGACUAUGUGCAAUUAGAGACAACUACUUCCGAAGUGGGGAGGGCUUCCUCUGCGUCUUCUCCAUUACAGAAAUGGAGUCCUUUGCAGCCACAGCUGACUUCAGGGAGCAGAUUUUAAGAGUAAAAGAAGAUGAGAAUGUUCCAUUUCUACUGGUUGGUAACAAAUCAGAUUUAGAAGAUAAAAGGCAGGUUUCUGUAGAAGAGGCAAAAAACAGAGCUGACCAGUAGAAUGUUAACUAUGUGGAAACAUCUGCUAAAACGCGAGCUAAUGUUGACAAGAUAUUUUUUGAUUUAAUGAGGGAAAUUCGAGCCAGGAAAAUGGACGACAGCAAAGAAAAGAAUGGGAAAAAGAAGAGGAAAAGUUUAGCCAAGAGAAUCAGAGAAAGAUGCUGCAUUUUAUAAUCAAAGCCCAAACUCCUUUCUUAUCUUGACCAUACUAAUAAAUAUAAUUUAUAAGCAUUGCCAUUGAAGGCUCAAUUGACUGAAAUUACUUUAACAUUUUGGAAAUUGUUACGUAUCACUAAAAGCAUGAAUUGGAACUGCACCGAAAGCCAAAUUUACUUAAAAAAGAAAUCAAUGUGGCUUCACCAAGAAACAGAGUUCAGCUUAUUUCAUAAUUGCCUACAUGUAUCACGGUCCUGAAUGUAGCAUUGUGAGCUUGUGUGUCUCAGGCAGUCUUUCUUGAUCUAUUAAAUAAAGACAUGAGAUGGGGGUGGGGAAUGGGAGGAAAGGCUCCUUCCUCUGGUGUUAUUAUAAAACUUAAAUUAUAAAUCAUUUUAAAAUGUUUUGGUCUUCUACUGCCUUGAAAACUGACAGUUGUGAACAUGAUAGUUAAACUGUACCACUUUUUUAAACCACUGUUAUGCAAAAUAUAGAAGAAAAAGUUAUUGGCAUGUUGUUGCAUACAGUUAAACUGAGAGUAAUUCAUCUGUGAAUCUGCAUUAAUUACCUGGUGAUUAACUUAGAAAAGUGGUGUAAACUUGUACAUGGAAAUUUUUGAAUAUGCCUUAAUUUAGAAACUGAAAAAUGCCCAAUUACAUCAUUCUGGGUGUGUUCUCAGUGGUGCCAGGGGUCUGCUGCCCCUUGUGUACUGGCAAGAGAAUAUAUGCCUAGCAUGGAGUAUAACUUUUGUAUAGUAGGUUCAGUUGAGAAAUAACUGUUUGCUAGGAGUCUGUCCAAAUUAAAAUGUGUGCCAUACUCUUGUUCUUGAAACUAGGAUUCCAGAGCUCCUUGAUUGCUUCUAAUAAACUAUAAAGUCAUUUAAAAUGAAGGGCUGGCAUAUACUUGUAAGAUAAUUUUAGACUGCGAGGAUUCAGCCCCAGUUAUGUUUGAGUAAACAGUCUUUUUUCUCUAAGAUGCUGGUCCCUGGAAAUCCUUUUCUGCCAGUGAUAAGCAUGUAACUGUGUUAAGUUUUUAAUCUCCUGGGAGCAGGACAUAGGAAGAAAUGUCAGCAGAGCUAAUGCGUUGUGCACUAGUACACUUUGGGAAAACA